rnacentral:rRNA from 1 species
UAAAAAUUUCUUAUUUUUGUUUCUAGGGGGGUUAGUAAUUUUAUAAAAAAUUCAUAAAUUUUAUUUAAAAGUAUUGUAAAGAAAUUAUUAUGUAAGUUAUAGUUUAUAAGUACUGAAAAGGAAAGUGUUAUUUAGAAUAAAGCAAAGCUUUACUUUUGUACCUUUUGUAUCAGGGGUAAACAAAAUUAGCUGUAAAUUUAUGGGUGUCUCGAAACAAGAGGAGCUAGCGUCUUUAGUGUUUUUUCGUAGUAAGGGUAUUAGUAAGUAGGCGUUAGUAGUGAUAUGUUAGUCGUCUUUUGUAUAUCUAGUUUUUUGUUAAAAAAAUUUAAUUUUGCUUUUUUUUAGAGUUGAAUUAAAAAUAAAAAGUAGGAGGUAAGAGCUUCUUAUUUUUCUUUUGCCAGAAUAGUUUAGUUUUGUUGUUAAGUGGGCUUAAAAUCAGUUAUCUUACUAUAACGUUAUAGUAAAUCUAUGUUAGAAGUUAGUUUUUAUUGUUCUGUUAAUUUUAGCUAAAAAUAUCUAUUAACGAAAUUUUGUUAAUUAAAAUGUUUAUAUAAGUAUGAUUAAAGUUUAAGUAUAAAAUGAAAUUACAUUUGACUUUUAAUUUAUGUUAGUUGUUAAAAAGGAACUCGGCAAAUGUUAUCUUCACCUGUUUAUCAAAAACAUGGCUGUAUGAGUUAUUAGUAUAGAGUCUAGCCUGCCCACUGAGUUUUUAAAGGGCUGCGGUAAUUUGACCGUGCAAAGGUAGCAUAAUCAGUAGUCUUUUAAUUGAAGGCUUGAAUGAACGGUUGGAUGAGGGAAAAGCUGUCUUUUUUGCAAAUUAGAAUUUGACUUUUAAGUGAAAAGGCUUAAAUUAAAUGGGGGGACGAUAAGACCCUAUAAAACUUGAUAAAAAGUUUAUUUUAACUUUAAAUUAUAUUUAAAAAUUGUGAAGUUUUCUUUUUAUUUUGUUGGGGCGACAUUGAUAUAAAUUGUAACUGUUUUAGCAAAAAGUAUAAUUAUCAUUAUAGUUUGAUCCUUCUUUGGGGAUAAAAAGAAUAAGUUACUUUAGGGAUAACAGCGUGAUUUUUUCUGAGAGUUCUUAUCGAAGAAAGUAGUUGCGACCUCGAUGUUGAAUUAAAAUUUCAAGCAGGUGUAGCCGUUUGCUUUGUAGGUCUGUUCGACCUUUAAAAUUUUACAUGAUUUGAGUUCAAACCGGUGUGAGCCAGGUUGGCUUCUAUCUUUUAUUGGUAAAUUGAAGGUUUUAGUACGAGAGGAUUGAACUUUCAAGAGUUUCUUUAAGUUUAGAUAUAGUCUAAU